AUACGGAGGAUGCAAGCGUUAUCCGGAUUUAUUGGGUUUAAAGGGUGCGUAGGCGGAUGAUUAAGCGUGAGGUGAAAUGCCACUGCUCAACAGUGGAACUGCCUCGCGAACUGGUUGUCUUGAAUGCUCCUGCCGUGGGAGGAAUGUGUGGUGUAGCGGUGAAAUGCGUAGAGAUCACACAGAACACCGAUUGCGAAGGCAUCUCACGAAGGGGUGAUUGACGCUGAGGCACGAAAGCGUGGGGAUCAAACAGGAUUAGAUACCCUGGUAGUCCACGCAGUAAACGAUGAUAACUAACCGCUGGGUCGUAGUGAUUCAGUGGCCAAGCGAAAGCGAUAAGUUAUCCACCUGGGGAGUACGACCGCAAGGUUGAAACUCAAAGGAAUUGGCGGGG
rnacentral:rRNA from 1 species